rnacentral:rRNA from 1 species
CACUCCUGCGGGAGGCAGCAGUGAGGAAUAUUGGACAAUGGGUGGAAGCCUGAUCCAGCCAUCCCGCGUGCAGGAAGACGGCCCUAUGGGUUGUAAACUGCUUUUAUCUGGGGAUAAACCUACUUACGUGUAAGUAGCUGAAGGUACCAGAAGAAUAAGCACCGGCUAACUCCGUGCCAGCAGCCGCGGUAAUACGGAGGGUGCAAGCGUUAUCCGGAUUUAUUGGGUUUAAAGGGUCCGUAGGCGGACUGAUAAGUCAGUGGUGAAAUCCGACAGCUUAACUGUCGAACUGCCAUUGAUACUGUUAGUCUUGAGUAAGGUUGAAGUGGCUGGAAUAAGUAGUGUAGCGGUGAAAUGCAUAGAUAUUACUUAGAACACCAAUUGCGAAGGCAGGUCACUAAGUCUUAACUGACGCUGAUGGACGAAAGCGUGGGGAGCGAACAGGAUUAGAAACCCGUGUAGUCCCA